rnacentral:rRNA from 1 species
GACGAACCGUGCGAACGUUGUUCGGAAUCACUGGGCUUAAAGGGCGCGUAGGCGGGCUGCCAAGUCCGUAGGUGAAAUCCCCCGGCUCAACCGGGGAACGGCCUCGGAUACUGGCGGCCUGGAGGGGGUAGGGGCGUGCGGAACUGUGGGUGGAGCGGUGAAAUGCGUUGAGAUCCACAGGAACUCCGGUGGCGAAGGCGGCUCGCUGGAUCUUUUCUGACGCUGAGGCGGCGAAAAGCUGAGGGGAGCAAACGGGG